rnacentral:rRNA from 1 species
UACAGAGGUCCCGAGCGUUGUUCGGAUUCACUGGGCGUAAAGGGUGCGUAGGUGGCAUAGAAAGUUUGAUGUGAAAGCUCAGGGCUUAACCCUGAAAUGGCAUUGAAUACUGCCGUGCUGGAGGUUUGGAGGGGGGACUGGAAUUCUUGGUGUAGCAGUGAAAUGCGUAGAUAUCAAGAGGAACACCAGUGGCGAAGGCGAGUCCCUGGACAACACCUGACACUGAGGCACGAAAGCUAGGGGAGCAAACAGG